UGACCCUUAGGUGAUUGGAGUCCUC
rnacentral:piRNA from 1 species